CUUUAUAUGAAGUUGAAUCUGUUCAAGAACAAUGUUAAAGAUUUUUCUACCCUGGACUGGUUAGAUUGUGUUCCAUUUCAUGCACUGAUAUUUUGUUUUUGUGUAUGAAGAAACAUCAGUAUUGUGUUGUUUUGGACUAAUUUACUGACUCUUUGCCAUUAAUCUUUCAUUCUUCUUCAAUUCAUUCCUAGGUUUUUACUGUUUUCUUGUUAUUGUUUGUGCAAUAGAUGUGUUAUUUGCCAGAUGAGG
rnacentral:misc_RNA from 1 species